GCGGGUUCUCCCGCCAGAGGAUACAUCAAAACUCCUGUUUUAACGGUGUUGUCUGAGCUACAAGCAACGAAUCAAAACUUUCAACAACGGAUCUCUUGGUUCUGGCAUCGAUGAAGAACGCAGCGAAAUGCGAUAAGUAGUGUGAAUUGCAGAAUUCAGUGAAUCAUCGAAUCUUUGAACGCACAUUGCGCCCCUUGGUAUCCCGAGGGGCAUGCCUGUUCGAGCGUCAUUUCACCACUCAAGCCUGGCUUGGUGUUGGGCGACGUCCCCUUUAGGGACGCGCCUUGAAACGCUCGGCGGCGUGGCACCGGCUUUAAGCGUAGCAGAAUCUUUCGCUUUGAAAGUCGGGGCCCCGUCUGCCGGAAGACCUACUCGCAAGGUUGACCUCGGAUCAGGCAGGGAUACCCGCUGAACUUAAGCAUAUCAAUAAGC
rnacentral:rRNA from 1 species